rnacentral:rRNA from 1 species
AUGCAGAAAGGCAAUCCAGAUGAUAGGAUCAGCAGCUUGCCCAAUGGCAUCCUGGUCAACAUUCUCGACCGACUCGAUGUCUCGCCGCUACAAGAACCAGUGUCCUCUCGAGACGCUGUGCCCAAAGAUAUGGCCAAUGCAGCAGUGUCCAAUGCUGAAUUAGUUCGGAGGACCGAUGCAGCUGUGACCAAAGCCUUGGCCGAUGCAGCAGUUGUAGCCAAAGCUGUGGCCAAAGUGACAAAGAGCAUACUGGCACGCAGGGAUCCGGUCGGGCAUGCUGUUGGCAAUGCCAUGGCAACAUGCAAGGUUGAGAAGGCCGAAUUCACUGUUCUGACAGAGAAGGGACGCCUAGAGUGCACCAUUGACGAUUUGGUGAAAUACGGGGCACGGUUCGUGUCAUUUUUUAAUGAGUGUACGGAUACAUUUGCUGGUCUCACGCGCCUCUACCGGGCGAAUUUGAGAUUCACUAAAUCGGACUUCGUCUCCAGCAUCCUCGUCCCUUGCAAGCGAUUAAAAUAUUUAGGUUUUCUCAAUUGCGACACAGAGAGUUGGAUAGCGUUCCAACUUGAACACGCGGAACUCAGUGAGCUCAGUAUUGUCAAUUGCCGUUUUGACGUGGUCAAACUUGACUGGGUUCCGAAGCUCACUUGGUUGAUUUGGGUUCAACCAGAGUGUCUGACCAGAUGGCUGGCGUCUGUAUUUCACCAACUAAGGAUUGGCAGUCUUGUUGACAUUCCUGAAGGGUAUGAUCUCACCUGGACAAUGUUUAUUCUGGAAGCGGCGCCGUCCCUGGAGGAGUUCUACAUGACGGUAAUGGAUCAUCCUUGUGACAUGCAAAUGGAUCAGGAGAAGAGGAAGGCGAAGUCGUACAGCGAGCACAAGGUCUCAAGACUACAUGGUGAGUCACGUCAGGCGUGUCUUGAAAGCGGCGGUGAAUCUAGGGGACUAGAUCGGCAUCGCGCCUUGGCGCAAGGGUGCCGGUCCGAGCGUUUUGCCGAAGCAUGUAACACUAUAUUAGUAGGAACCCAGCCUAAAUUGUACAGAUCAAGUAGUACAAGUUGGAGAAAAAGUAACUUUGAUGCGGUGAGAACAUCAAGUUUUCCAAAAAGCGCUCAGUUUGAAAUCAGCCAAGACUUCAUCUCUUCCGUACGCUACAUGCGAGAUACCUUGCGUUCACUUCUCCUUCCUAGACCCGCGGGAGGGUUUGGGGCUACCAUCGGGGAUAGAACCGGCAGCGAUGCUUGCCGGGCCAGGGAAGGAUCACAAGACGAUCAAUUUGGAGGAUGGGUGGACAUGCAGAAGGGCAUCAACAUCCUCGAGCACAAGCAAGAGUCGCAGUACAUGUUCGAUGCGCUCUACAUGUAUAUUAUUCCCCUGUUUUGUGUCUGUAUGUAUGCCGGUGCUGUUGGUUUUUCCGAUCCAGUGAGCGUGAGGUUGGGUUGCGAAUUAUUACAUUCUCAUCUUACUAUGUACUGCAUGAUCUGUUUCUGCAUACCCCUUCUAUAG